UGGAGUACGUGGUUGGUGAGUGAAAAAGAAAAUUUAAAGCAGGCCUUCCAUUCAAGUUUUUCUAUAUGAAUAUAUCUUCUUUUUAGCUUCUCUCCAUGUUCUGUUCAUCAGAUUUGAAGGGUACUCUUCGCUUUUCAAUGUGGAGACAGAUCAAUCAUUUCUGAGGGAGUUGAUUCUAUAGAAGACAGAAAAGUUUUGAAGAUGACCAUGAUGAAAAAGGGUACAUGGAAAUGUAUCAUCAUGAGUUGUUACAAGACUGAGCCCUUGCCGGAAUCCGAAAGCCAGGCGUUGACUCAUAGUUCUUUUCGUAGGCUAUCCCUUUCGGAUGUGAAUAAUCCAAGUUCACCACUAUCUGUUGAAGAUCUGUCGAAUUCUUUCGCUGGUCCGAAACUGCAUAUUUUCACAUUUGCAGAGCUAAGAGUCAUCACACAGAGCUUUUCAAGAAACAAUCUCCUUGGUGAAGGUGGGUUUGGACCAGUGUACAAGGGGUUUGUUGAUGACAAGCUUAGGCCUGGAUUGGAGGCUCAGCCUGUAGCUGUCAAGUCUCUGGACUUGGAUGGUAUGCAAGGCCACAACGAGUGGAUGGUUAGUUCUACAUAUACAAUACAACUUUGUCGGUUUCUUGCAACCUAAUAAGAGAAUCUAUUUGUAUUUGUAGUAUCCUUCCAUAAAGAUUUUGUUCAAACAAAUAGCGGUGGUUUCUUGCAGGCCGAAAUAAUCUUUCUUGGACAGCUGAGGCAUCCACAUCUUGUUAAAUUGAUUGGAUACUGUUGUGAGGAGGACCAAAGGCUCCUGGUAUAUGAGUACAUGCCAAGAGGCAGCUUAGAGAAUCAACUCUUCAGAAGUAUGUUGCUUGAAUUAAGUUCUUUUAUGUUGGGAUUGAAUCCUUUCUGUUGUCUAUCAUUAACGAACUCAUAUUUCAAAAUCAUACCGUUAACAGAAAUAAAGGUUUAAAAAAUUUACUUAUGCAGGAUACUCAGCUACUUUGCCAUGGUCAACUAGGAUGAAAAUUGCACUUGGAGCAGCUAAGGGCCUGACCUUCCUCCAUGAAACUGAUAAACCUGUGAUAUUCAGGGAUUUUAAAUCUUCAAAUAUUUUGUUAGACCCUGUAAGCCCCCUCUCCUGAGCUUUACCAUAAAAUUAUUAUACUAAUCUAUGCCCAUGAGAUUAAUUACUUCCCAAUAUAUUUUUGUCUUCAAAGGAUUACACUGCAAAACUCUCAGAUUUUGGGCUUGCGAGGGAUGGUCCAGAAGGAGAAGAGACACAUGUCACAACACGCGUAAUGGGUACGCAAGGUUAUGCUGCUCCUGAGUAUGUCAUGACUGGUAAUGUUGAUCAAUCAUGAAAUGUUUUCUCUUUAAUGCAAGUUCCUUGUCCCAGAAGCAGCCAACACCAACUAUGGAAAAUUCUUAUCCUGGAAUCUAACCCUGCUGAAAUUCCUGAUUCCAGGUCAUCUCACAACCAUGAGUGACGUGUACAGCUUUGGGGUAGUUCUGCUAGAGUUACUAACCGGUAAACGUUCCAUGGAUGAGAACCGCCCAGGUCGAGAGCAGAGCCUUGUAGAAUGGGUAAGACCUCUGUUGAAGGACCCAAACAAGCUGGACAGGACUAUAGACCCAAGACUUGAAGGGCAAUUUUCCACUAGUGGAGCUCUAAAGGCAGCUGCAUUAGCUUACAAAUGCCUAAGCCAUCAUCCAAAGACCAGGCCCACAAUGAGCUGCGUGGUCCAGGUCCUGGAGUCUCUUCAGAAUUUUGAUGAUGCAUUUGUCGAACCUUUUGUGUACAUAGUACCAAAUGAAAAUGGCAGCAAGAAAUGCUUUGGAAUGGAGGAAGGCGUCAAAAGUGAAGGAGAAAAAGAUGCCAGUGAAGAAAAUGAACACCACAAAACCAGGCACCAUCACCGUCGCGGUUGGAGACAUCGGAUCAAACUGCCUUUAUCAAGAGUUGCUUAUUCAGAUUCUGCUCUUUAUGAGAAUAUUGGCAAUGGUUUUAGCUCUCCCUACACUCCCAGAAGAGAGGAAGUAUAGAUAGCAUAAAUACAAGUACAUAACAAUGCACAUUAUUUUUCUUUUCCCCAAGAAUUGUUUCAAACCCCUCUUGAGUUUUCACGGAAAAGAGAUACAAGAGGAACAUUACUCAAAUUGUAGUAAAACUGCACUGUAAUAAAAUUUCAGAUUUCUGCUGGCAUGAACAGUGUAUGCAACUUCUUUUUGCUAAUAUUUGGUGGGAAGGUGGAGGGAAAGAGCUGAGGAUG
rnacentral:misc_RNA from 1 species